rnacentral:lncRNA from 1 species
GUCAAUUUUGGGAGCUCUUCGCCCUUUGACUUCUCCAUAUUCAUUGAAUGGAGGAAUAUGUUGAUCCUGAGGCAAACAGAUAGACCUGUAUCCACAGAAAAAUUGUUAGUUUAAGAAAUGAACUGAUCUGUGUCGAUCUCUUCAGUUGUCGGCUCCUUAUCUUGCUAUCUCCGGUUGAUUUCUCCGAUCCCCCGCUUCUUGAUAGAUA